rnacentral:rRNA from 1 species
CCCGGGUGGCGAGUGGCGCACGGGUGAGUAAUACGAUCGGAACGUGUCCUGUUGUGGGGGAUAACUGCUCGAAAGGGUGGCUAAUACCGCAUGAGACCUGAGGGUGAAAGCGGGGGAUCGCAAGACCUCGCGCAAUUGGAGCGGCCGAUGCCCGAUUAGCUAGUUGGUGAGGUAAAGGCUCACCAAGGCGACGAUCGGUAGCUGGUCCUGAGAGGACGACCCAGCCACACUGGGACUGAGACACGGCCCAGACUCCUACGGGAGGCAGCAGUGGGGAAUUUUGGACAAUGGGGGCAACCCUGAUCCAGCCAUGCCGCGUGCAGGAUGAAGGCCUUCGGGUUGUAAACUGCUUUUGUCAGGGACGAAAAGGACCGUGUUAAUACCAUGGUCUUGCUGACGGUACCUGAAGAAUAAGCACCGGCUAACUACGUG